GUGGCGAACAGCCUGAGGUCCCAUCCCUGCUGAGGCCAGGCUGCAUUUCAUGGUGCCAACACAACCCUGGGUUCCAACCCAGACCCGGCCCUAACUCCAAGUGUGAUUUUGGGCAAGUCACUUCCCCUUUCCAAAAUGAAUUGCAGUCUGACAUUCGGGAAUUUGACAGUCUGUCUGCCCCACAGGACCAGAAGCUCUGUGGAGGCGGGGAUGCCGUUUUGCUCAUGAUGCUGUCCUGGCACAUAAUGAGGACAUUGAGGCACAGAGAAUUUAAGUCACUCACCUGAAGUCACACAGCUAAUAAGAUUGAGACCCAGCAGUCUGCCUCUGGAAUCUACACUCUGAACAUCUAAACUGCCUCUUGAAUACAGCGUUUGAUGCAGAAACUGAGGCUCAGACAGAGGUUGCAUGGCUACUAAGGGGCAGAGUGUCACUGGAACUCAGGUGUGUGUCAGCCAACAUCUGGGCGCAUCACUCCAGCGUGGCAGUGUCCUCCAGCCCUGACUGAUGGGGGUCCCUGUCGCAGACAGAGGGCAGGCCGAGCCUCACUGCUUCGUCUCCGCGCCAGCCCAGGUGCAGCCUCACCUGCACGAUGUAGUCACAGUCCUCCACCUCGAAGGCAAUGUCCUUCACUCCGUCGCCGUGUUUCACCAGGUGAUCGCCCAUCUCUGUGGCCGGCAGGGGAGGCGGGUGGCGCUGGAGUCACGGCCCCUCCCUUGUACUCUCAGCCUUCUGGGCUUCAUCUCCUUCUAGGCUGAGGCCCCCUCCCUGAACCCUGAUCCACCCCUGUGUCCCUCACCCCCACCCACAAUACCACGUCUCCACUCCCUGUCACCCCGAACCCUCUGGGGCCCCCUCACCUUUGUUCCAGGGGUUGAGGGCAGAGGAGAAGAUGAACACAAUCUAAGGCGUAGAGGAGAAGGGAGGCGUGGCUGGUGGCUCAGGCGAGCUUCUGGAGGUGCACCUCCAGCCCCGCUCCCUGCCCCCCAGCGAGAUACCCCUGGUGGGACAUUAGGACAAGACCUCUCUUCCCAGCCAGGCAGGACUGUUGACCCUGGGUUCCUGUCCUUUCUCAGCCUUAGCUUCCCCUCUGGUCCUGAGGGAUGGGGGCUUCUCCCGUGCCAGACCCUCCUGGGGCCUUGGGAUGAGCUGCCAGUCAAGCCUCCCGGUGGGGAGAGCCCCAGGGACCCAUGGACCAGGGCACCGCUCAGAUUUCCAGGUCUGACGUCUGAGGCCUUUGCCAACUUUCCCCGAACAUCUGUGAGACCAGCGUUGGGCCAGGCCGAGAAGUAGACCAAACCAAGAAGGUCCCUGUUGCGUGUCGUACAAAGGUGCCAGUGGAGGGCCCAGCGGGGGGCUGACCUCAGUGCACGCUCCGCUAACCACACCGGGCAGCCUGGAAGAGCACUGGGCCGCCUGGAGGAAGGGCUUCCUGGCCUCCUGCACCCAGAGGUGCCAGAGCUGUCACGGAGCUCAGAGACCAGCAGGGAGAGAGAUGGCCCUCCUGGAUGGGUGGGGUCCUGGGUGUAGACUCACCUUCCCUUGCUUGAUCACGUGGCUGACCAUCUCCCGGGAACCCGUCUCCAGGCCCUUGUAGGCUAGGGGUUCAAAGCCCAUCUUGCUGCAGUAGUACGACGCAGCCUGAAUCACAGAGUUGCAGACGGGCCCGUGAGGGUCGAGGGGCCGGCCCCCAGUCCCCCCAGCCUAUCUGCCCUGUUGCCCCAGGUGCCGAGAUCCUCCUGGGAAGAAAGCCUGCUCCCUGGCCCACGCUGAUCUCAGAUGAGGAAACUGAGACUCAGGAAGAUGAAGACUUGCCCAAAUAAUAAAUUGUCGGAACUUGCCUGCUGGCUCAGUGGUUAAGAUUUCGCCUCCCAAUGCAGGGGACAUGGGUUUGAGCCCUGGUCCAGGAACAUCCCACAUGCCGCGGAGCAACUAAGCCUGUGCGCCACAACUACUGAGCCUGCGCUCUAGAGCCCUCGAGCCACAACUACUGAGCCUGGGUGCUGCAACUACUGAAGUCCACAUGCCUAGAGCCCGUGCUCUGCAACAAGAGAAGCCACCGCAGUGAAAAGCCUGCGCACCACAGCGAAGAGUAGCCCCCGCUCGCCACAACUAGAGAAAGCCCACGGGCAGCAAUGAAGACCCAACACAGCCAAAAAUAAAUAAAUGAAUAAUUUUUAAAAAAAUAAUAAAUUGUCCACUGUGAUUAGAAAGUGCUGAACAAGAACUUGGAUCCAGACCACGUUUAUAUCACUAUGUGUGCUGCUGUCCAAACAUAAAACCAAUCCCUUUUUUCCAGGUCUCAAGGAGCUUAACAUCCACUGGGGAAAACUAUGUGAAGGCUCUGAUCCGGACUUUAUCAUUUUUAAAGUCUAAAACAGGUCCUGGCCAGCAUUUUCCAUAAAGAACUAGAAAAUAAAUAUUUCAGGCUUUGAGGGCCAUAUAGCCUCUGCUGAAACUACUCAGCUCUACAAUUGUAGCAUGAAAGCAGCCAGAGGCAGUAUGUAAAUGAAUUGGCAUGGUUGUGUGCGAAUAAAACUUUAUUUACAAAAACUAUUUGCAGAAACAUUCUGUGAGGGGCUUCCCUGGUGGCGCAGUGGUUAAGAAUCUGCCUGCCGAUUCAGGGGACACAGGCUCGAGCUCUGGUCCAGGAAGAUCCCACAUGCCUCAGAGCAACUAAGCCCGUGUGCCACAACUACUGAGCCUGCGCUCUAGAGCCCGCGAGCCACAACUACUGAAGCCCAAGUGCCACAACUACUGAAGCCCGUACGCCUAGAGCCCGUGCUCUGCAACAAAGAGGAACCACCGCAAUGAAAAUCCUGCGCACUGCAACGAAGACUUGCCUCCGCUCGCCGCAGCUAGAGAAAGCCUGCACGCAGCAAUGAAGACCCAACGCAGCCAAAAAUAAAUAAAAAAUAAAUUAAUUAAUUAAACAAAAAACAGGCUGUGAGCAAAAAACCAAAAAAAACAGACAAGCAUCCAUAUUUGGACAGAGAGCCAAUAGUUUGCUCACCCCUGCCCUAGACAAUCAAUAAAACAAUUAAGCAUUAGUUUGUAGCAGUUGCUGAAUUCUGUGGUAUAAGUACCCCUAUGGCCAGUUUCAAACUACCAAGGUAAGCUAGUUUGAACUUGGAGUUGAGAACAGUAUAAGUAGUAACGUAUCACACAGAAAAAUAGACAAGAGCCUAGGUAGUACUAAAAUGUAGUGAAAUAAUUAGGAAAUGAUGAGAUUUGAGCAUUUAUUACCUUUGUUUUCAUGAUAGUUUUUUUAGUUGUAAGUUUAUAUUAAAUUUUUUUCUGCUUUUUAAUGUAAUUUUUAAUAUACAUAAUUUAAUUUUAAGUAAUCUGGUAUUUAAAAAAAUUUUUCACAAACUUCUUGAAGAAUUCACAGUGGGCUCUCCUGAGCCUGUAGGAACUGCUCUGCUCUGGUUGCCUGAGGUUUAGGGGGCAGGAGGCCCCCAUGACUGGGGAAAGGGCAGAGGACAUCAGUGGCCCUGGAGGAGGAGCAACUGCUAUGACAUCAGGGCCCAGGGCACAUCAAAGGGUUUUCUCUUUCCUCUCUGGCCAAACAACUAUCUCGUCAGUUGCUCCAUUAUUUGCAUAAGCCCAGGGUGAGGUUACUCAAGAUCAGCCAUUGAUCCCUUUCGAACUGAACCUGCGUCCCCACCAUCCAAAGUCCCUAAACUUUUGAACAUCUGACACCCUUCAGUUCAGAACACUGACUUUCAUUCUUCACAAGGGCAAUAGGGAAGUUAGCUUUGGCCUCCAAUUUGCUGUGUUGCCUUCAACAUAUUGCGUAACCUCUCUGAACUCCCUUUUUCCAUUUCUGAAUAUUAGGGAGCGCUCUUAUGAGUCUUCAGUACCUACAGGGAUAGGAGUGACUAUGUGUCCAAUGCUUUGCAUUUAAUAUAACAGCCCUAUGAAGUAGGUGUUAUUAUUAUACCCAUUUUACAGUUAAGGAAACUGAGGCUCAGAGAAGCUAAGUGGCUCAUACUAUAAGUGGUAGAGUUGGGAUUCAUUCCCUCUACUCCCAGUCCAAGUUUCUCAUUUUUUUCUGGUGUGUCUCCCUGCGUCUGGAGAUCUUCAAGAUUUUUACAGAUGAAAGGGGUCUGAGGGCUUCCCUGGUGGCACGGUGGUUAAGAAUCUGCCUCCCAAUGCAGGGGACACGGGUUUAAGCCCUGGUCUGGGAAGAUCCCACAUACCGCGGAGCAACUAAGCCCGUGUGCCACAACUACUGAGCCUGCACUCUAGAGCCUGCCUGCCACAACUACUGAAGCCCCCAUGCCUAGAGCCCGAGCUCCGGAACAAGAGAAGCCACCGCAAUGAGAAGCCCACGCACCACAACAAAGAGUAGCCCCCGCUCACCACAACUAAAGAAAGCCCGCAAACAACCUAAAUGCCCAUCGACAGACAAAUGGAUAAAGAAGAUAUGGUACAUAUAUACAAUGGAAUAUUACUCAGCCAUAAAAAGGAACGAAACUGGGUCAUUUGUAGAGACGUGGAUGGAUCUAGCGACUGUCGUACAGAGUGAAGUAAGUCAGAAGGAGAAAAACAAAUAUCGUAUAUUAACGCAUAUAUGUGGAACCUAGAAAAAUGAUACAGGUGAACCGGUUUGCAGGGCAGAAAUAGAGACACAGAUGUAGAGAACAAACGUAUGGACACCAAGGGGGGAAAGCGGCAGGGGUGGUGGUGGUGGUGGUGGGAUGAAUUGGGAGACUGGGAUUGACAUAUAUACAUGAAUAUGUAUAAAAUAGAUAACUGAUAAGAACCUGCUGUAUAAGAAAAUAAAUAAAAUUAAAAAAAAAACCCCGCGUGCAGCAACGAAGAACCAAUGCAGCCAAAAAUAAAUAAAUAAAUUUAUUUUAAAAAAAAAGGGGGGUGUGUGUCUGAGUAGUCAUUAGUCCUGGGACUUGAAACUCAAAUGCCCCAGAAGCCAGGAGAGUGAUGUAGAAGAGAGAAGAGCUGGGUGGAAUUGUGGAGUUGUAUGCUCACGCCUUGUCAACAAGGGUGAUGAUUACUGAGCUUCAGCCAGUUAUCCCCUGUGGGGAUGUGGGCUAGUUUGGCCAGAUUUUGUUCAAGAGAAGCUGGAAAUUUGAAUUUUUAUGUGAAAUCCAUUGAUUUAAAAAUUGUUUGGGAAUUCUGAGUUUGGGAAUUCCCUGGCCGUCCAGUGGUUAGGACACCGCACUCUCACUACCAAGGGCCUGGGUUCAGUCCUUGGUUGGGGAACUAAGAUCCCACAAGCCGCGCGGUCUGGCCAAAAAAAAAAAAUUGUUUUAAUUCCAUUAAUAGGAAAUAACCAGAAUAGGUAAAUCCAUAGAGGCAGAAUGCAGAUUGGUGGGUGCCAGGGGCUGGGAGGAGGGAGGACUGGGGAGUCACUGCUAACGGGCAUGGGGUUUUCGUUUUGGGGUGGUGAGAAUGUUUUGGAGCUAGAGGUGGUGGUUACAUGACGUUGUGAAUGUACGAAAUGAAUUGUUCACUUAAAAAUGGUUAAUUUUAUGUCAUGUGGCUUUCAUCUCAAUAAAAAAAAUUGUUCUAACAUUUUUAUGACUGUUUUUUGAUAUUGAUAGAAAGUAUUUUUAUCAAAGGUUAAUAAUACACAUAGAAAAAUGCAAAAAGUAUAUGGCUUUCUGAAUUUUCACAAACUGACCACACCUGUUUAACCAGCUCAGAUAUAUAUUUUAUUUUAUAUUUUGUAACAGAAUUAAUGCAAGUUGAUAUAGAAAAAAAUACACAUAAUUAAAAGUGAAAAAAAAGAGAGAGAAAAAAGGAAAAAGAAAGUAAAGAAAACUAGCCCAUUCAUAAUCCUUCAGCCACAGAAAACCACCAUGGACAAUUUGGGCAUAUCCACCCAGACCGCCUUCUAAAAAUGUAUAAACAUAUGAUACUUUUCUGUUACAUUUUGUGUAUACUUUGUAAACACUGU